AUGGACUUUAUCACGGGGUUACCCAGGACCCGUUCAGGUUAUGAUUCCAUUUGGGUGAUAGUGGAUCGUUUGACCAAGGUUGCUCACUUCAUUCCAGUGAAGACCACCUAUACAAGUGCUAAGCUGGCAAAGAUAUAUAUGACCAGGAUCGUAUGUCUGCAUGGAGUUCCGAGGAGCAUCGUAUCAGAUAGAGGAACACAGUUUACCUCAAAGUUUUGGAAUCAGUUGCAUGAAACUUUGGGUACCAGGCUAGAGUUCAGUACAGCCUUCCAUCCACAGACUGAUGGGCAGACAGAGAGAGUCAAUCAGAUUCUGGAGGACAUG
rnacentral:rRNA from 1 species